AGAAUUUUUAUAAAUUAAUAUGACCCAAUUAAUCAUAUUUAAAUUUAAAUUUAUUAUAAAUAAAGAUCAAUUCUAACACAUAUAAAACUAUUUAAUAUGAUAUAUCUUAUCUAUUUUUCAUCUAUUUAAAUUAAAUAGAAUCCUAAUUAGACUUUGAUGGAAAGUUAAUCUGAACGCUAUAUAAAGAGGGUAUUGGUUCUGCCACCUUCUUAUAUGCAUUCGGGUAAAAAAAAUUAUCAUUUUUUCCACACCAUUCGAAAGAGUGCUUGAAAUAGGAGGAGAAACCAAAUUAACCGACUUCGGUUGGUGAUAUUCAAAUUAUAGCUAGACUUCUCGCUUCCGCAGAUUGAUCAAGAAUUUUUUUUUCUAUGGCACGUCUCUAUGAAUUAUUUUAUUUUUAAGCUUAAAAAGAUUUUUA
rnacentral:lncRNA from 1 species